CAAUCCUACGGGAGGCAGCAGUGGGGAAUAUUGCACAAUGGGGGAAACCCUGAUGCAGCGACGCCGCGUGAGCGAAGAAGUAUUUCGGUACGUAAAGCUCUAUCAGCAGGGAAGAAUAAUGACGGUACCUGACUAAGAAGCCCCGGCUAACUACGUGCCAGCAGCCGCGGUAAUACGUAGGGGGCAAGCGUUAUCCGGAUUUACUGGGUGUAAAGGGAGCGUAGACGGCUGUGCAAGUCUGAAGUGAAAUGCCG
rnacentral:rRNA from 1 species